rnacentral:rRNA from 1 species
GACGAACGCGGGAGGCGUGCUUAACACAUGCAAGUCGAACGGAAAGGCCCUGCUUUUGUGGGGUGCUCGAGUGGCGAACGGGUGAGUAACACGUGAGUAACCUGCCCUUGACUUUGGGAUAACUUCAGGAAACUGGGGCUAAUACCGGAUAGGAGCUCCUGCUGCAUGGUGGGGGUUGGAAAGUUUCGGCGGUUGGGGAUGGACUCGCGGCUUAUCAGCUUGUUGGUGGGGUAGUGGCUUACCAAGGCUUUGACGGGUAGCCGGCCUGAGAGGGUGACCGGCCACAUUGGGACUGAGAUACGGCCCAGACUCCUACGGGAGGCAGCAGUGGGGAAUAUUGCACAAUGGGCGGAAGCCUGAUGCAGCAACGCCGCGUGCGGGAUGACGGCCUUCGGGUUGUAAACCGCUUUCGCCUGUGACGAAGCGUGAGUGACGGUAAUGGGUAAAGAAGCACCGGCUAACUACGUG